CCGGUGGUAAAGACUCGUGUUCCAAUACUCGUGCACGAGUUUUGGGAGGCCUUCCUUUGAAAUUAGCUGUGAAGGAGGGGGGCUGUUCUUACGCAUGCGCUCAUUUCAAAAACUCAGUAACAGUUUUUGGAUUGUCAGUCGACGAAAAAGUCCUCUCUAUCACCUUUAAGUUGAACAACAGCACGUUUUUGAAAGACAAUAAAAUUCCAUAGAAACAAUAACUGAAAGACAAAGGGAGAAAAAGUUAAGAACAGAGGGUUUAGGUGCUGUAAGAUUUGUUAUGAAAAAUGUAUGCAGAAAAUAGACUUACUCCCUGAAAGAUAUAACUAAAAACAGUCCUGAGAAAACAGUAAAACAAAAGUGGCCACAAGCCACUGACAACAAACUUUCAGUUUCGCUCUGGAAGAGAUAGGCUACUUUUCUUUGUGUACAGAUAUGACUCAGGUGAAUGACGUAUGUAUGUCCUACGCAAUUUCCCGCUAAAUUUGUCCCACCACAGCUCUAAAUUAUAAAUCAUUAUUAUAGGUUUAUCAAAAUGUAUUUGUGUAAGACAUGGUUUGGAAUAUCUUUUGCACUUUGUCACUGAUAACAUUUUUGUUCUUUUUAUUUUAUUUUAUUUAUUUAAUUUUUUUUUUUUAAAGUUACAGUGAAAGUGUUUGAGGUGCUUUCUGCAUGCGAAUCAUUUUGCGCGUUCACGGUGUCCAGUCCAUGUAUGGUAAACCGGAAGAGAGCAUGACAGACAAUUUUAUGAAUUUCAACACAGACGUAGAUUAAGAAAACAGAAGAAACAAAAAUAAAAAAGACUACCAAAGUGACAAAACAAAAGCAAAAGUCUGGCGGAAGUUCUAAACAUUCUUUACAUCUCUUUUACGUGUAUCCAGCAGCGCGCUAUAACAUGGCCAGCUGCCAGGGUGUCCUAAGGCCAACUGAAACUCAAGGUGUGAGUGUGAAAACUGGGAUUAGAGACUCAAAUGAAAUGCACGGGCACCAGCAGUACCUGACAAACGGUGAUAAUAAAGGUAGGAACCACAAACACAGCUACAGUCAUCCAGGUGACAUAAGCUUUCAGCCCCCAGGGCUCGGCAAAGUGCCCCCAGCAUUCGAACACUCCUGGAGAGACCUCUGACCUGGAGAAAAUAAACACCUGUAGGGAAGACAGCAUUGGGAAAAUAUUUUAAAAUAGUUCCUUUUGUGUUUCCUGUAAUAAAUAGCACCAUAUGGGUUUGGAGUAAAUUGAAGGUGAAUAAAUAAUGGCAAAUAUCGCUUUAAGAAUGCAUAUUCACUGAUUGAUGUACCUGCGGCACACUGAGGACAAGGGCUAGACCCCAGGCUACCAUGAUGGGUGUAUUCCAGCAUGAAACUGCCCCUCCUUUGUAAGUCUGUAGGGGGCAGCAGAUGGCAUUAUGGCGGUCCACUGUCAUAGCAACAAUCAUGUAAGAGGAUGCAAACAUUCCCACAAUCUGCAGAUAUUUCACUGAGCGGCACAGCACGUCAGGACCUUGAAAUCUCUCUGUGAUAACCCAUACCAGCUGCGGGAGCACCUGCAAAACAGUGUACAGCUGUUCGCAUGUCACUUAAAAGAAAUAAUGCCAGGGUUGCCAACUUUGGUUACCUGGCUGGAGUGAGAUUUUGAAGACAUGGCCUGAACCAAUCACAGGCACCUAUAUGAGGUUUUGAGGAUGCAACAAUUCAUGUUUAAUUUCAUCUUACAAGGUUAAUGUUGUACAACAUAUACAAUUGCAUGCUGCAUGAUGUUAACAAAUAUUUGAUGAAAAUCAUAAAAUUAUUAAAAUAAAAUGAUACGCAUGCAAUGAAGUUUAACCACGACUCGCUUGCUCUUAUGACCGUUGUACAAAAUGGAAAUAUGUGCAUGAUUUUCAAGUCAUAAUGUUUACAUUAAAGUAAAAUGUAAGUUGUGCACUGGAGAAAGCAUCUCUCAAGC